rnacentral:rRNA from 1 species
ACGCUGGCGGCGUGCUUAACACAUGCAAGUCGAACGAUGAAGCCUAGCUUGCUAGGUGGAUUAGUGGCGAACGGGUGAGUAAUACGUGAGUAACCUACCUUUAACUCUGGGAUAAGCCUGGGAAACUGGGUCUAAUACCGGAUACGACCAAUCUCCGCAUGGGGUGUUGGUGGAAAGCGUUAUGUAGUGGUUAUAGAUGGGCUCACGGCCUAUCAGCUUGUUGGUGAGGUAACGGCUCACCAAGGCGACGACGGGUAGCCGGCCUGAGAGGGUGACCGGCCACACUGGGACUGAGACACGGCCCAGACUCCUACGAGAGGCAGCAGUGGGGAAUAUUGCACAAUGGGCGCAAGCCUGAUGCAGCGACGCCGCGUGAGGGAUGACGGCCUUCGGGUUGUAACCUCUGUUAGCAGGGAAGAAGAGAAAUUGACGGUACCUGCAGAGAAAGCGCCGGCUAACUACGUGCCAGCAGCCGCGGUAAUACGUAGGGCGCGAGCGUUGUCCGGAAUUAUUGGGCGUAAAGAGCUUGUAGGCGGUUUGUCGCGUCUGCUGUGAAAGGCCGGGGCUUAACCCCGUGUAUUGCAGUGGGUACGGGCAGACUAGAGUGCAGUAGGGGAGACUGGAACUCCUGGUGUAGCGGUGGAAUGCGCAGAUAUCAGGAAGAACACCGAUGGCGAAGGCAGGUCUCUGGGCUGUAACUGACGCUGAGAAGCGAAAGCAUGGGGAGCGAACAGGAUUAGAUACCCUGGUAGUCCAUGCCGUAAACGUUGGGCACUAGGUGUGGGGGACAUUCCACGUUUUCCGCGCCGUAGCUAACGCAUUAAGUGCCCCGCCUGGGGAGUACGGCCGCAAGGCUAAAACUCAAAGAAAUUGACGGGGGCCCGCACAAGCGGCGGAGCAUGCGGAUUAAUUCGAUGCAACGCG